rnacentral:rRNA from 1 species
GAUGAACGCUGGCGGCGUGCCUAAUACAUGCCAGUCGAGCGAACAGACGAGGAGCUUGCUCCUCUGACGUUAGCGGCGGACGGGUGAGUAACACGUGGAUAACCUACCUAUAAGACUGGGAUAACUUCGGGAAACCGGAGCUAAUACCGGAUAAUAUAUUGAACCGCAUGGUUCAAUAGUGAAAGACGGUUUUGCUGUCACUUAUAGAUGGAUCCGCGCCGCAUUAGCUAGUUGGUAAGGUAACGGCUUACCAAGGCGACGAUGCGUAGCCGACCUGAGAGGGUGAUCGGCCACACUGGAACUGAGACACGGUCCAGACUCCUACGGGGGGCAGCAGUAGGGAAUCUUCCGCAAUGGGCGAAAGCCUGACGGAGCAACGCCGCGUGAGUGAUGAAGGUCUUCGGAUCGUAAAACUCUGUUAUUAGGGAAGAACAAAUGUGUAAGUAACUAUGCACGUCUUGACGGUACCUAAUCAGAAAGCCACGGCUAACUACGUG